AAAGAAAUCGUUAAGGGCGUAUGGCGGAUGCCUAGGCUUUCAGAGGCGAAGAAGGACGUGGUAAGCUGCGAAAAGCUCGGGGGAUUGGCACACACGAAUUGAUCCCGAGAUGUCCGAAUGGGGCAACCCGGCAUGUUGAAGACAUGUCACCGUCUUAGGAGGAGCAAACCCGGAGAACUGAAACAUCUAAGUACCCCGGAGGAAAAGAAAUCGAAGAGAUUCCGUAAGUAGUGGCGAGCGAAAGCGGAUUAGCCCAAAAGUCUUUAUAUAUUUGAG
rnacentral:ncRNA from 1 species